GGUAACAAGGAAGAGGUGCAACACGUCAUCAGCUAGAUUUAAAGGGUGACUGCCCUUCCUGAUCUGGUCUCGUUUUAGAUUUGGUUCAUUAAGAAAUGCUAGCAGCCAUGACUGAAUUCAGCCGUAAAUUGGUUUCGGGGUGUGGUUUGAUGUGGGUGUGUUUGCAGGUGGGAAGAGUUAGCCAAAUUAGUUUGUCAAUUACCUUCAGCUGGCUGGUGUGCGACCUGACUUUGGAUAGCCUAGCUCCAGGACUAGUUAGUGACCGUCAAUAAAUGGCAAUGUAAAUAAGACAAUAUAUUGAUGUUGCACACCUUUUAGUUCUCAUUAAAUGCUUUCAAUAUUUGUAUAUGCAUUCAUACAAUUUAUAGUUGGUCAUUGACAUUUGGAGCUAUUGGAAUCUUUACGUAUUAUCCCAUGUACUGUACUUGUGUAAUUUACCUAUGGUCCCUAACUAGCCCCAUAGGGAUGUCCAAAGUCAACCCAAAUUUACCACAGGCAUUAAGAUCAGGAUGCAUGCAGCUGCACUCCGAAUUGAUGAUUACUUGUCUGCUGCCAGCUGUGGUCAUGUGAUUGAAACAUGCCCAUUUUUCAUUUUAUGUUGUAAUGAAGUCACGACCACAAGACUCACAACUCAGGUUUGGACGAGACUGACUUUUACCAACAUUUUCUAUUUACACUUUGUAGUCAAUUGACAGUAGAAUACUUUUAUACGCACAAUUAAAAACAACCCUAUUUGUGGCCCAAGUCCAGUUUCAUUCACUGUGUUCCUGGCAUCGUCUGCUGUGACAGGAAUUGUUAUGUUGGGCCUCAAGUAGAAGUCUAAAAAGUUGGACCCAUUCCGAAAUGGACCUGGGCAAAUAUGCAUGAAAUUUUUUUCCAAUAUAGAGACCCGUUCCGAACAGACCCGAGGAUAACCAGUUCCGUAUAGACAUGAUCUGAUCCGGGAACAGCAGAAAUCCAUUUGUAAGCUACUUUAUUAACCAGAGCUGAUACAGAGCAGGUGGAGGAGGGGUCUUGCGGUGUGUGUGUGCUGUGAGCGAGUGCCACGGGACCAAGGAGGGAGAGACAGAAACCAACCAUAACAAGCCGACUCGCGCUAGAAUACAAACUUGUAGCUUGUCAUAGCUGGUUAUUUAUCAUCCAAUAUGAUUAUUUAGUACUGGUCUUGACUGCAACAAACUGAGAGAAGCUAGUUGGCUAAGACGGCUAGCUAUGUUAUCAAGCUAGGCUAAUUGAGUCUGCAUGCGCUUUCCUGACGUAGUUAAAAAUUACACCGUUCAGAUGAUUAAAUAGCAACCUACCUGGUGGCUCUUGGUCGUUGUACCAUACACUUACUUCCAUUUUCCGUUGAUUAGAUCAUCUCCUAAUUUGCUUCACCCGUUGCUUUGCCACACAUGGAGGCUGUAUGGACUGACUGUAUUGGCACAUUGAUGACUUGCGAUGGCCGACAAGCUACACACGCCACUCUGGGCCAUUCUCGUUGAGCAGUGGAGAACAUAUUAACGUUUUAUCCACAACUCUGUCCAUCGCUGUUGUAAUCGGCAGGGAAACCAAAAUGUUCCCAAACUGGAGAUUUAAACGAUGGAGGCUCCUCCAAUUCUGGUUUAUCGAGCCCACCACGCGCCAUCUACAGAGUUCCCGGCUGUGCCUCACAAAAGCAGAAUUUAAAAUCUGACAGUUAAUAUUAUUAUUUUGAUUACAACGUGAGCAUAGGUUGUAGUUGUUUUAAAGGAAUAACCUACAAUGUUUUUCAGCUUUACUCACGAGGCAGUGGCAUACAACGCAGCGUAGGCAUGGCGUUAUUGUUUUUAAAAUGUUUUUUUGUAUUAAUUCAGGUUCACAGUGUGGACCGAACCGAGGUCCCCGUGCCUAAUGGUUUGGUAUAUCUACACCUGUACCGUUACAGCCCUAUCCUAGUAUACUGACAACCAGGGCAACUCAACUGUAAAGAAAAAUGUAAAUGUUCACAUAACAGCACAACACAACUCCAAACACGACAGGUGUGAAGUGCCAGAAGAGAUCGGACAUCAAGGCAUCAAUAGAAUAUAUUUAUUGCAAUGCUACAGAGGAUUCUAUAGAUAUUGACAGGCAUUGGUUUUGAAAAGCAUUUGGCGACAGCAGCCAGGUAAACAAAACCAGAGACUGAUAACAGGGUUAUAAAAUCACUAUGUAAUUUGUGUAAACUAUCCCUUUAACUACAUCAUUUGGGGGAAAUAAAACAGGCUGUGCAAUUGUGGAUUUAAAAGUUUACAAU